GGGGAUAUAGCUUGGUGGCAGAGCACUUGCCUCGUAUGCAUGAGGCCCUGGGUUCCAUCCCCAGCACUA
rnacentral:tRNA from 1 species